UUGUUUGUUGUUGAUGUUGUGUGUAUACACUUCUUGUUCCUUAUACCACCCUUUUCCUAAUGUUUUCUUAGAUAGUCACAAAUAUGUACUCCCAUCAUGCUUAUCUUGUUGCUAGUAUAUGUACCAACCAAUUAUUUGGUCCACAGGGUCCCCUAAAACUUACAAGCUCUGCUUUUACUAGGGUCUCCUCGUCUUUCUUUUAGUUCUCUUUGUUUUUACCAUUGCCAUAAUUUUUUUUUUGCAUUGUAAAUGUGAAUUGAUCUAAUGUUAUGCUAUAUGUGACAUUUGAAAGAAACUGGGGACGAAUAAAUGUCCUAUCUAUAUCUUAUCUUAUUUAAAAAAAAUUAUGUGGACAUUAUUAUUUGUAAAUAAUGGAUAACAUGAAAUCAUUACCGUAUUCAUAUAUAAUGAAUAUCGUGAAAUUAUUAUUUAUGAAAUACUUAUAAAAUAUUAAUUGCAUUAUAUAUAAAUAAUUAUUUGACAAUAAUUACUGUAAGGUAAAUAAUGAAUUAAAUACAUAAAUGUUGGGGUAAAUAAUAUUUCUACAAACGGCGCUUCGUAGUCGCCUACGUCUCUGGGUAUUCAAAAUGGAAGAAGCGCGCUGGAUGAAAUAAUUAAAUGAGCUAUUUCAAAAAGUCGUAAAGUGACGACGUACGUCACUCAAUCUGUAACAAGCCAUGCAUUCAAACAGCAAUGGUGAUAUGCUGGGCAGUAAAACAGCAUCGUUAUUUUAAAUGGUUCGUGCUCUGAGUCUGAGAGCCCUGCUUUCAUAUCGGCUCUGUGCAGCGUCUCUAUGGAGUCGGGCUAACACGGACCCGUCCCAGGCCAGCCGCCCUCCCGACGGUCUUUCCUCCUUCGCGAUGAUGAGGAAAACCAAGCGAGCACAUGUUCGGAGAGCUCGAGAGAGGAAAUGAAGCCCGGAUGCUGCUGUACUUGUGUGUGCAUGUGCGCGCCUGUACAUGCUGUGCUCUGAUGUUGAUUCAGCCUUGUGUUGUGGUGAUAACAAGAGCAAAGUGAUGAAUCCUACAAGGCAAGAUGAGAAACCUCUUGGAUCUCUCACUCUCUGCUGUUGCCAUACUUUGGGGGACACAGGAGGACAUUGUCUGGUUCAAGGAAGGCAUGGUGCUGGCUGAGCUGGGACUUGAUCAUGAUGUGGAGAUGGAGAUGUCUUGCGUUUCUUAUUACAGAUCCACAGAUUUCUGUAGUCGAGAAUUCUAAAGAGAUUGAAAGAUGAGCACUCGCUCCUGGACAUUCCUGCAUCAUUCAGAGUCCAGAAUCUCCUGCUGGCCUAUACAAUACAACAGCUCUCUGAUCCCUGGUGCGUAGUCCUCAUGGAUAUUCCAGCUAAUCCUUGUCACACACAUCUCUUUGUUUUAUCUGGACAUCAUGAUUUUGAAGAGCUACAUUGCUGCAAAAACAACGUUGCCCCAAGGAGAGAGUUAGCUACAUCCACUUGAGGAACUGAAAGUAGACAUUUAUGCUGCCCAUGGGUAUUCCACUCCACUAUUUGCAACAAGCCUUGUGAGAAAUCGGCACAUCUGAACGUGAAGUUGCUCAACCGAGGGAUACCAGUUUUUAUUAUCAGUGCUUGAGAAACAGAAUGAUUCAUAGCAGAAAUUGACACCCAUCACAUCACAAGAACUGCUUCACAAACACUUUUAUUCUUAAAAAAAGUACAGCAGGUUAUUUGAACAUUUAAACUUGAAAUUUGGCUGACAGAGGGGUGCAAGUAUUCAAAGGAUGCAGAGAACAUUGGCAACGGCAGCAGGGCAGUGCAUCCAUCGUCACUCCUCACAUCGCUUCAAGAAUGAGGAUCACAAGUAUUCAAGUUAUGCAAAGAACAUUGGCAACGGCAGCAGGGCAGAACAUCAAUCGAUACUCUUCACAUCGCUUCAAGAAUGAGGAUCACAAGUAUUCAAGGUCUGCAGGGAACAUUAGCAAUGACAGCACGGCAGAGCAUCAAUCGACACUCCUUGCAUCAUUUCCAGAAUGAGGAUCACAAGAGAGGUUUGGCUGUCUUGUUUGUGUCAUGGCCACGAUUGAUGGUUGCGAAGUUGUGUCGAUGAGUCUGUGUCUGCAUUUCCUAAUCAUAUGCAGAGACUUUUGCAUUGUUUUGUAGGGUGUGACUUCGGCCUAGUGUGACUGCUAGAGGGUGGUGAUCUGAUAUUUGUUUUAGGUUUUAUUAUUUAGAUGUUGGCCUGCGCUGCAAUUUGAUUUUACAUGGUGGUUUUACAUAAGUGAUGGAACCAGUUAUAGAGGUCAAGAAUUUUGAAUUUGUUUUAAAAAUAAUUUGUGCUGGAGCAGUUGUUGUUGGAACAUGUGUCGUAAAAUCCAGAGAGGCAAAAAUAUUCUUGUGAGAUAUUGAAUACACCCAUGAGGGCAGAAAUUCUGGCCCUAUUACCCCCACUCCUUCAAAAAAGUCCCCCCCCCCCAAAAAAAAAAAAGAGGGAAAAAAUGAUUAUAUCAUUAUAGCAUUACUAUAAUUUAACUGAAAGUGUUUAUUUAAAAAAACAUACUUUUACAGAAAAUUUGGUUAUGUCAAAGAGAUGAAGAGUUUCACCAACUGUGGAUUAUACCUACCUGUUACAAGUCCUGAAAAGGUUUAAUUUAGUGUGAUUCUGGUUUGUGUGUUGAACGUCUAUGUAUGAUUACAGUUUGUUUGUGUAUGACCAUGUGAUAUGAUAUGAUUACUAAACCAGCUACCCUUACUCAAAGCCUAGACCUGUUGAAAUAGAUCUAAAUGGACAAGCAAAUUUCUGCUGUUUUUAAACUUAGUUGGAACAAAAUAGAUCUUCUGCAGACAUGUUAGGAUGUUUCAGUGCCUAAAACAGACCAUACGAUGUGAUAUUGCAAAAUAUUUAGCUCUACAUGUAUAUUCUAAUGAAAGCUCUUUGGCUAUGUGAGCGAAUGAGACCAUGCUGCUUGCAUUUUUGCGGCUAAGAGCCCCUUUAUUUCUACUGUCUCUGAGUUUAGCUGCAUGCUUUUAGGGAUGAUUUUACGCUCAGCCAUGCGAAGUAACCGUUUGAUGGAGACAAACUCGCUUGUUUUGUUUUUUUUAGGAAAUGAAAAAAACAUGCAGUAGUGAUUUAAAUCAUCUUUGUUUUAAUGAAUGAACAUUUAUUGGUUUGAAUAUUUGUCAAAUAAAAGCAACAAAGGAACUCUUCCCAGAUGGGAUAUAACAAAGUAUGCUUUGUCUUUUUCUACAUUGAAAAAUAUCUUGUAGACAAAAAUCAAAUCAAAUAGAUUCAAGCGUCUAUAAUUCUAAAACUUCUUUCCCUUAAACAAUCGAGCCCAUGGCGUUUACUGUCAUCACAGAGAAUUUACCUAGAAGUAAGGACAGCACGCAGGGCAAGGUUGUUUGGGGGUCAGCUGGAUAAUGUACUUUCUGUGCAAAGUCAACACUGUAAUGAAACACUAUGGGCUUGGAAUUAGCAGGAUUUUUUCCUAGCUUCUUGAUGGAAAGCUCUCUAGUGACUGCCUUUGAGCCUUGACAGGCUGUCCGUUAAGUAUCCCUCUCUCUCUAGGCCCCUAGAAGAUGCUCCUCCUGCCUCCUGAGUGCUUCUGUCUUCUGUUCAUCAGGAACAUUGACCUGCAGACAUGAGGGAAAAAAGCAAAACAAAACAAAAAUCUGAUUAGUCAAAAUAUCUCAUCUGCUAUUUUUCUCCGAACAGGUUAUUUCAAUUUGAUUGGUGGAAAGGUCUGCUUUGGUGGCAUGGUUUGUUUUUCUGUAUAUGGCUCUUUCUAUAAAUAGAGGGCCCAUAGUGUGACAUUAAGGUCAACAUUUCAUAUUCAUGCCAUGUUGCUCAAACUCCGGUCAUAGUGAGAACAAAUCAAG